AAGUCGUAACAAGGUCUCCGUUGGUGAACCAGCGGAGGGAUCAUUACUGAGUACUACACUCUCUACCCUUUGUGAACUAUUAUACCUGUUGCUUCGGCGGCGCCCGCAAGGGUGCCCGCCGGUCUCAUCAGAAUCUCUGUUUUCGAACCCGACGAUACUUCUGAGUGUUCUUAGCGGACUGUCAAAACUUUUAACAACGGAUCUCUUGGCUCCAGCAUCGAUGAAGAACGCAGCGAAACGCGAUAUGUAAUGUGAAUUGCAGAAUUCAGUGAAUCAUCGAAUCUUUGAACGCACAUGGCGCCUUCCAGUAUCCUGGGAGGCAUGCCUGUCCGAGCGUCGUUUCAACCCUCGAGCCCCUGUGGCCCGGCGUUGGGGAUCUGCCACGGCAGGCCCCUAAAACCAGUGGCGGACCCGAAGGGCCCUCUCCUUUGCGCAGUAGCAUUCGCCUCGCAUCGGGAGUCCUCGGCGUCCUGCCUCUAAACCCCCCACAAGCCCGCUUCGGCGGCACCAAGGUUGACCUCGGAUCAGGUAGGAAUACCCGCUGAACUUAA
rnacentral:rRNA from 1 species